rnacentral:rRNA from 1 species
AUUGAACGCUGGCGGCAGGCCUAACACAUGCAAGUCGAGCGGAUGAAGGGAGCUUGCUCCUGGAUUCAGCGGCGGACGGGUGAGUAAUGCCUAGGAAUCUGCCUGGUAGUGGGGGAUAACGUCCGGAAACGGGCGCUAAUACCGCAUACGUCCUGCGGGAGAAAGUGGGGGAUCUUCGGACCUCACGCUCUCAGAUGAGCCUAGGUCGGAUUAGCUAGUUGGUGGGGUAAAGGCCUACCAAGGCGACGAUCCGUAACUGGUCUGAGAGGAUGAUCAGUCGCACUGGAAGUGAGACACGGUCCAGAGGCCUACGGGAGGGAGCAGUGUGGAAUAUUAGACAGUGGGCGAAAGCCUGAUCCAACCAGGCCACGUGUGUGAAGAAGGUCUUCGGAUUGUAAAGCACUUUAAGUGGGGAGGAAGGGCAGUAAGUUAAUACCUUGCGGGUGUGACGUUACCAACAGAAUAAGCACCGGCUAACUUCGUG